UACGAAGGGGGCGAGCGUUGUUCGGAUUUACUGGGCGUAAAGGGCGCGCAGGCGGCUCAUUUUGUCAGGCGUGAAAGCCCCGGGCUUAACCUGGGAACUGCGUUUGAUACGGAUGGGCUAGAGUUCGGGAGAGGAGAGUGGAAUUCCCAGUGUAGAGGUGAAAUUCGUAGAUAUCGGGAGGAACAUCAGUGGCGAAAGCGGCACCCUGGCAUUAGCCUGACGCUCAUGUGCGAAAGCGUGGGGAGCGAACGGG
rnacentral:rRNA from 1 species